GCCGGGCGUGGUGGCGCAUGCCUGUAAUCCCAGUCAUUCAAGAGGCUGAGACAGAAGGAUCGAGUGUUCAAAAGCCAGUCUCAGCAACCUAGCAAGGCCUUAAAUAACUCAGUGAGACUCUGUCUCUA
rnacentral:sRNA from 1 species